rnacentral:rRNA from 1 species
UUUAAAUGUAAAAUAAAUAUACUAAAGUAGUAUUAGUUAUGUUCUUGAAAUUUAAAGAUUUUGGCGGUAUUUUAGUCUAUUUAGAGGAACCUGUUCUAUAAUUGAUAAUCCACGAUUAAUUUUACUUAAUUUAUAUAAAUUUGUAUACCGUCGUUAUAAGAAGAUUUUAAAAGAAUAUAAAUUUUUAAUAUGUUAUAUAAAAGAAUAUAUCAGAUCAAGGUGCAGUUGAUAAUUAAGAAGAAAUGGGUUACAAUAAAUUUAUUUAUAUACGGAUUAAAAUAAGGAUAUAAAUUUUAUGAAGGUGGAUUUAAUAGUAAUAAUAUUAAUUUAAAUUUUAUGAUUUUAGCUCUAAAAUAUGU